UGGGGAAUUUUGGACAAUGGGCGAAAGCCUGAUCCAGCAAUGCCGCGUGUGUGAAGAAGGCCUUCGGGUUGUAAAGCACUUUUGUCCGGAAAGAAAUCCUUGGCUCUAAUACAGUCGGGGGAUGACGGUACCGGAAGAAUAAGCACCGGCUAACUACGUGCCAGCAGCCGCGGUAUUACGUAGGGUGCAAGCGUUAAUCGGAAUUACUGGGCGUAAAGCGUGCGCAGGCGGUUUGCUAAGACCGAUGUGAAAUCCCCGGGCUCAACCUGGGAACUGCAUUGGUGACUGGCAGGCUAGAGUAUGGCAGAGGGGGGUAGAAUUCCACGUGUAGCAGUGAAAUGCGUAGAGAUGUGGAGGAAUACCGAUGGCGAAGGCAGCCCCCUGGGCCAAUACUGACGCUCAUGCACGAAAGCGUGGGGAGCAAACAGGAUUAGAUACCCUGGUAAUCCACGCCCUAAACGAUGUCAACUAGUUGUUGGGGAUUCAUUUCCUUAGUAACGUAGCUAACGCGUGAAGUUGACCGCCUGGGGAGUACGGUCGCAAGAUUAAAACUUUAAAGGAAUUGACGGGGUCAUAGCUGUUUCCU
rnacentral:rRNA from 1 species